rnacentral:piRNA from 1 species
UGGGACACAAUACGAGGAGCUGGUUUUGC